AGGAGAGAGGACCUCAGUCAGACAGGGCUGCAGGGUCUCAGAGACUUCAAGAUGGAGACUUGGGCUUCAGGAGCCAGAGGAGGGAGCCAGAAUGGAUGAAGGAGAGAGAGACUGGAAAGGUGGAAGCUAUGGACUCGUAACAGCUUGUCCUCUGCUGGUAAGGAAAGCACAGACAGGGCCGUGUGAAGGUUCAGGUACGUCUGCGGCCAAGGGCAGGAAGCCAGGCCUGAGGCACCCACCUGGGGCUCCCUGCUGCUGGCAGCCAUCUCCACCGCGCAGGCACACAUCCGAGGCUGGCACACAGACAGCCGAGCAGGUUCAGCCCCGUGCUGACCUUCAUCUGCCAAGGACAACAGAGCACCUGUCACUGCCCAGCCAGCAGGGAGGGUGCUGGCCUCACAUACCACAGGCGUGACAGGCUUCCUUCAUGGAUUUCGAUCUGGGAAGAAGCACUGACCUGCUCUGGGAACCAACUACCGGAGGUGAGAAAGACACCUGUGCUUCGACUGCUGGAUCCCGUGGGUCAUAGACGCCCAGACCUGCUGCUGGCCCAUAGGCGCCAAGUCAGCCUUCACAGCCAGAGGACGGCGGCUCUAUGCUGCUGGGCAGACAGCAUGCGUGAGGCUGCUGCUUCCUCCUGUGCCCAUGGUAGACCAUUAAUCAUCCUCACAAAGCCAUCGGAGUCGCCAUGGUCGUCUUGCUUCCCUGCUGUUCUAACUCUCCCGCUGGGACACACCCUUGGCCCUCUGGCGGCAACCCACAGAAGCAGCAGAACAGAAGUGGAGAAAAGAGGCUACGGGCAAGCCGGUGAUUGGAACCAGAGGUGACAGCCAGAAGUGGCAGCAAGGGAAGUGACAAGGAUGGUGGAGGCCCCAUGGGCACGUUUGUGUCAGGAACAAGAAACAAGUCAUCCUUCUGCAAAAGAAAAGCCACUGUUCCCACUGCUCACACAUAGGAGCGAGUGGCCAUUUACAAAGCACUUUUCCACUGGCUCAAGUUUUGAAGUCUUAAGGUCGCUAUGAAGAUGGGGAAACUGAGGCUGGAGAGACAGAUGGACUCCCGUGAGGGUGAUGCAUGACUGUCUACCUCCCUGUUCUUGAGAAAGGAGCUGGGAGAGGUUCAUGGGGCAGUCAGCUAACUGGGUCCUCACGCCAGGCCGGCUACCUGUGCUGGCCACCAACGUCACUUACCCUGCUGGCUUUCCCGAUGGGGCGGGCCAGCUGAUACGCCAAGGCUCCUCCUAGCCGAAUAUAUUCUAGGGGCCUGUUAAUGCUGACAGCGUCCCCAGCGACUGCUGCCGAUCUGUGACGGGGGUGGCACCAAACGCGGGCUGCAGAGCCAGCCCCUGGCACUGUCCUCUCAGCUGGAAGAGGCCACAAAGGGAUUUGGAGGAGGCCCGGCUCGGCUACUUACUGGCUGUGUGACCACGGGAAAUCGCUUAACCUUUCUGAGCCUCAUUCCUCCUCUUUGCAACGAGAAAGCCGACCCUGCCUCCCGAGAUGGGCUGCGAGGUUCAAGGUCUGAGCCAGGGUGGUAGGCAGCAGGAUGGCCGCCAAGGACAUCCAUGGACUCAUCCCCGAACCUGUGACUGUCUUAGGUUACGUGGCAAAGGGGAGUUAACGUUGCUAAUCAGGUGACCUUGAGGUGGGGAGAUGAUCCUGGAUUCUCUGGCGGGGCCCAAUGUUAUCACAGGUGUCCUUAAUGGAGAAAGAGGGGGACAGAGGAGACAUGUUUGAGGAUGCUGGGCCGCUGGCUUUGAAGAUGGAGGAAGGGGUCACAGGCCCAGGAAGGCAGCUGGCCUCCAGAAGCUGGAAAAGGCAAGGAAACAGAUUCUCCCCUAGAGUGUCCAGAAGGGAAGGCAGCCCUGCCGAUGCCUUGAUGUUAGCCCAGGGAGCCCCAUUUCAAACUGCUGAUCUCCAGAAACGUAAGGUAACAUAGCUGUGUCAUUUUAAGCGGCCGAGUUUGUGAUCAUUUGUUACAGCAGCAGUAGGAAACAGAUACAGUCACCUGCAGCACUUAACACAGUGCCUGGCACAGCAAGUGUCUUAAGUGGGCACAAUUACUGUUAAUUUCUGCAGCCAGGUGGGGGCUCGGUCUCCUAGUCCUUAAAAGUGGGGUUGGCCUCAAUGGCUCCAGGACCCCUUCCAGCUCUCUGAUGUCCUAAUGAGAAGGACAUUAGUCCUAGUGAUGGCCAGGCAGUAACUGGACAACUUAUUUGCUUGGUGUUAAAUAAAACUAAGGGCCAUGAACUCAUAUCUGUGUUAUAUGAAAACACAGUAGAGGGAUGACAGUAACAUGAAAACAAUUCGAGUGUUACAUUUGCAUAAUUAUGGGAGACUUAAAAUAUAUGUUUUUAUAGUGUUCUAAAGUUAAGAUUGUAAUAUAAACUUUUUUCCUUUAAAAAAAAAAAAAGCCUAGAAAAUCACUCCUCGCCAGGGACAUUGGAACAAAGAUAGAAUUCUGUUUCCCAGCCUGCCUUUCUGCCAUCUGCCCAUGUAGACAAGGGCUUGGCCACGGGUUAGACACACCUUGGGGUAAGGCCUGGAUCUCCUUACUGGCUGUUUGACCUUGAGAAAUGUUGUGACCUCUCUAAGCCUCAGUUUACUUAUCUGUAGCAUGGGGAAGUAAGUACCUAACUCAGAGGGUUGUUGAGAAGAUUCAGUUAAAUAAAGGUACCGUUUAUCUAAAGUGCUUAACAGAGAGAGCACCCGGUACGCCUGAAGUGCUCAGCCUCUGGUGACCCCCUCCCGAUUUUCCCACCACAGCCAAACCCCACAACAUGCUGCAGCUCUUCCAGGCCUUCCCUGUCCUGCUGCCAGGCCAUUGUACGUGCUGUCUCCUGUGCUGGAGGUCUCUUCUCCCAUCCUGAUCUGAAUCCUGCCCGGCCUCCACAGAUCUCCCAGGGCCAUUGGAGCUGGGAGUACAGUGGCCUGUUGUUUGGAACACCCAUGGCAUUUUCUCUUGGUGGCUCCGCAUUUGUCACCUCAAACUGGCAUUCUGUCGCCCCUGUGCCUUGUGUCCAUCCCGGACCGUGAGCUGCCUCUGUGGCCCCGCUAAAUAAAUGCUCAGCAAUGAGAGACGUGCUCCUCACGUGCCCCCUGCCUGCACCUCCCCUUUCAGAACCUCCUCUUGCUUCCGUCCCCAUGUGUUAA